UAAACAACCUGCCUUCAGGAUGGGGACAACAGACGGAAACGACUGCUAAUACCGAAUAAGUUCCAAGAGCCGCAUGGCCCAUGGAAGAAAAGGUGGCCUCUACCUGUAAGCUAUCGCCUGAAGAGGGGUUUGCGUCUGAUUAGCUGGUUGGAGGGGUAACGGCCCACCAAGGCGACAAUCAGUAGCCGGUCUGAGAGGAUGAACGGCCACACUGGAACUGAGACACGGUCCAGACUCCUACGGGAGGCAGCAUG
rnacentral:rRNA from 1 species